GAAAUGCGAUAAGUAGUGUGAAUUGCAGAUUUCAGUGAAUCAUCGAAUCUUUGAACGCACAUUGCGCCCUUUGGUAUUCCUUAGGGCAUGCCUGUUCGAGCGUCAUCUAAACCUUCAAGCCCUGCUUGGUGUUGGGUGCCUGUCCCGCCUCCGCGCGCGGACUCACCUCAAAUCCAUUGGCGGCCCCCGCGUCGGCCACGAGCGCAGCAGAAACGCGAACUCGUGAGCCCGUCCGGGCGGCUCCCAGAAGCUACACCCACCCAGUUUGACCUCGGAUCAGGUAGGGAUACCCGCUGAACUUAAGC
rnacentral:misc_RNA from 1 species